AGUGAACGCUGGCGGUAGGCCUAACACAUGCAAGUCGAACGGCAGCACAGUAAGAGCUUGCUCUUACGGGUGGCGAGUGGCGGACGGGUGAGGAAUACAUCGGAAUCUACUUUUUCGUGGGGGAUAACGGAGGGAAACUUACGCUAAUACCGCAUACGACCUACGGGUGAAAGCAGGGGAUCUUCGGGCCUUGCGCGAUUGAAUGAGCCGAUGUCGGAUUAGCUAGUUGGCGGGGUAAAGGCCCACCAAGGCGACGAUCCGUAGCUGGUCUGAGAGGAUGAUCAGCCACACUGGAACUGAGACACGGUCCAGACUCCUACGGGAGGCAGCAGUGGGGAAUAUUGGACAAUGGGCGCAAGCCUGAUCCAGCCAUACCGCGUGGGUGAAGAAGGCCUUCGGGUUGUAAAGCCCUUUUGUUGGGAAAGAAAAGCAGCAGGUUAAUACGCCGCUGUUCUGACGGUACCCAAAGAAUAAGCACCGGCUAACUUCGUG
rnacentral:rRNA from 1 species